GAUGAACGCUGGCGGCGUGCCUAAUACAUGCAAGUCGAGCGAACAGAUAAGGAGCUUGCUCCUUUGACGUUAGCGGCGGACGGGUGAGUAACACGUGGGUAACCUACCUAUAAGACUGGAAUAACUCCGGGAAACCGGGGCUAAUGCCGGAUAACAUUUAGAACCGCAUGGUUCUAAAGUGAAAGAUGGUUUUGCUAUCACUUAUAGAUGGACCCGCGCCGUAUUAGCUAGUUGGUAAGGUAACGGCUUACCAAGGCAACGAUACGUGGCCGACCUGAGAGGGUGAUCGGCCACACUGGAACUGAGACACGGUCCAGACUCCUACGGGAGGCAGCAGUAGGGAAUCUUCCGCAAUGGGCGAAAGCCUGACGGAGCAACGCCGCGUGAGUGAUGAAGGUCUUCGGAUCGUAAAACUCUGUUAUUAGGGAAGAACAAAUGUGUAAGUAACUGUGCACGUCUUGACGGUACCUAAUCAGAAAGCCACGGCUAACUACGUG
rnacentral:rRNA from 1 species